rnacentral:rRNA from 1 species
GAUGAACGCUGGCGGCGUGCUUAACACAUGCAAGUCGAACGAUGAAAGCGGGAGCUUGCUCCUGCUGGAUUAGUGGCGAACGGAUGAGUAACACGUGAGCAAUCUGCCCCGAACUCUGGGAUAAGCGUUGGAAACGACGUCUAAUACCGGAUACGACGCGCGAAGGCAUCUUCUGCGCGUGGAAAGAACUUCGGUUCGGGAUGAGCUCGCGGCCUAUCAGCUAGUUGGUGAGGUAACGGCCCACCAAGGCGACGACGGGUAGCCGGCCUGAGAGGGUGACCGGCCACACUGGGACUGAGACACGGCCCAGACUCCUACGGGAGGCGGCAGUGGGGAAUAUUGCACAAUGGGCGCAAGCCUGAUGCAGCAACGCCGCGUGAGGGACGACGGCCUUCGGGUUGUAAACCUCUUUUAGUAGGGAAGAAGCGAAAGUGACGGUACCUGCAGAAAAAGCACCGGCUAACUACGUGCCAGCCGCCGCAGUAAAAC